CAUAGGUGUGUAUGAGACCAUGCAUACAGCAGAGGGUAACCCCGUAGCAUAUGUUCGUAUCAUCACAGGUGUAGCAGUUGUCUGCAUUCUUAUCACUUUGUGGGAGUAGAGGUGUGUUUCACCUAGACUGUGUUCGACAACCUUGGUGCACACUCUCUCGGAGGAUUUGUGGAGAGUUUCUCAAGUGCGUAUGUCUGCAGGUUUUGUCUUGGAGAACGAACCCAAAUCCAAGUACCUCAAUGUCUCAUCCUGCUAAACUUCGGAUCAUACUCAAAGAGCAUAACAUUCAAAAACUGGACUUACCACAUGGAAUCCCUGGAACAGUGGAAGAACUUGAAUCUAUUGUGAAAGAGACUUUUGAGGUUGAUGGGAAGUUUACUUUGCACUAUAAGGAUGCUGACUUUGGAGAAGAAUAUUUUUCUCUGACAUCAACAGGUGAUAUCAAGGACAAGGACACACUUAAGGUGGUUCAGAUUAUUGAACCUCCCACAAUUACUCUGACAUUUAGUGAUGUAGACAGUUCCUUCAAAUCUGCAUCAGAGACCUUGGUCAAUGCUUCAGCAAUUUCAGAGACAUCAGUCUCAGAGACAUCAAGUGUGUCCUGUGGCACCAGUUGCUCAUCCGGAUCUCAGGAUACAGUCAUUCUUUCCUCACCUGAACAUUUGAGUCGGCGUUUUCAGCGCUGGCCUACCAAUUUUUCUGUUCCUCGCUUUGCUUAUGACACAGAGCUUUUACUUGCUUCAGGAAAUGAAACUUUCAAAAAGGAUGGAACGAAACUUAACUUUACUCCACUUCUUCCAGACAUCCUUGAGAAACUGGCUGAAACGAUCUUUCAGUAUGUUGCCUACCCAACAUCUGCACAAUUAGCAGAUGUAGCUAAAGCACUUGUUCAACAACAUCCUUGCCUUAAAGAACCGGGAUCCUAUAAUGGAUGCUAUGGAUGGCAACAAAGACUGAAAUAUAAAAUGGGCAAUUACAGAAGUAAACUCAGAGGGCUUGGGUGCCCUGAGCUGGAUGUGAACUCUCUCAAAAGAAAGCAAGCACAUGAGAAGACACCUUCAAAGAAUCU